AGUGAACGCUGGCGGUAGGCCUAACACAUGCAAGUCGAACGGCAGCACAGUAAGAGCUUGCUCUUACGGGUGGCGAGUGGCGGACGGGUGAGGAAUACAUCGGAAUCUACUUUUUCGUGGGGGAUAACGUAGGGAAACUUACGCUAAUACCGCAUACGACCUACGGGUGAAAGCAGGGGAUCUUCGGACCUUGCGCGAUUGAAUGAGCCGAUGUCGGAUUAGCUAGUUGGCGGGGUAAAGGCCCACCAAGGCGACGAUCCGUAGCUGGUCUGAGAGGAUGAUCAGACACACUGGAACUGAGACACGGUCCAGACUCCUACGGGAGGCAGCAGUGGGGAAUAUUGGACAAUGGGCGCAAGCCUGAUCCAGCCAUACCGCGUGGGUGAAGAAGGCCUUCGAGUUGUAAAGCCCUUUUGUUGGGAAAGAAAAGCAGCAGGUUAAUACCCCGCUGUUCUGACGGUACCCAAAGAAUAAGCACCGGCUAACUUCGU
rnacentral:rRNA from 1 species